CCUACGGGAGGCAGCAGUGGGGAAUAUUGGGCAAUGGAGGAAACUCUGACCCAGCAAUGCCGCGUGAAUGAAGAAGGCCUUCGGAUUGUAAAGUUCUUUAGUCAGGGAGGAAGUCAAUGACGGUACCUGCAUAAUAAGCUCCGGCUAACUACGUGCCAGCAGCCGCGGUAAUACGUAGGGAGCGAGCGGUUUUCGGAAUGACUGGGCGUAAAGGGUGCGUAUGCGGUUGUUCAAGUUAGAAGUUAAAUACCCAGGGCUUAACUCGGGUGCUGCUUCUAAAACUGGAUGACUUGAGUGCAGUAGAGGUUAGUGGAAUUCCUAGUGUAGCGGUGGAAUGCGUAGAUAUGAGGAGGAACACCAGAGGCGAAGGCGGCUAACUGGACUGCAACUGACGCUGAGGCACGAAAGUGUGGGGAGCAAACAGGAUUAGAUACCCUAGUAGUC
rnacentral:rRNA from 1 species